CUGACAGCUGCACAAAGAUAACUCUGAACAACAUUGUUCAUUAUGAAUUCAAAAGACAUGUUAAUUUCCUGGAGUUUAGUUUUUGGUUUUGCUAUUCAUGGUGUUUGGAGUGAGAUUAAACUACAACAGCCCCCUUCUGAGGUGAAAAGACCAGGAGAAACUGUGAGGAUUUCAUGUGUUACAUCAGGUUACACUAUGACAGAUUAUGGCAUGAACUGGAUAAGACAGAAACCUGGGAAAGGUCUGGAAUGGAUUGGCUGGAUAAACACAGCCACCACUGUUGCUACUUAUGCCAGCUCUUUUCAGAGCCGUUUUAGCUUCACUCAAGAUGUUUCCAGCAGCACUCAGUUCAUGGAGAUCACCAGUCUCACUACAGAGGACUCUGCUGUUUACUUCUGUGCUCGAGAAACACAGUGA